GUCGAACGGGAUCCAUCAGGCUUUGCUUGGUGGUGAGAGUGGCGAACGGGUGAGUAAUGCGUGACCGACCUGCCCCAUACACCGGAAUAGCUCCUGGAAACGGGUGGUAAUGCCGGAUGCUCCAGUUGAUCGCAUGGUCUUCUGGGAAAGCUUUCGCGGUAUGGGAUGGGGUCGCGUCCUAUCAGCUUGACGGCGGGGUAACGGCCCACCGUGGCUUCGACGGGUAGCCGGCCUGAGAGGGCGACCGGCCACAUUGGGACUGAGAUACGGCCCAGACUCCUACGGGAGGCAGCAGUGGGGAAUAUUGCACAAUGGGCGCAAGCCUGAUGCAGCGACGCCGCGUGAGGGAUGGAGGCCUUCGGGUUGUAAACCUCUUUUAUCGGGGAGCAAGCGAGAGUGAGUUUACCCGUUGAAUAAGCACCGGCUAACUACGUGCCAGCAGCCGCGGUAAUACGUAGGGUGCAAGCGUUAUCCGGAAUUAUUGGGCGUAAAGGGCUCGUAGGCGGUUCGUCGCGUCCGGUGUGAAAGUCCAUCGCUUAACGGUGGAUCCGCGCCGGGUACGGGCGGGCUUGAGUGCGGUAGGGGAGACUGGAAUUCCCGGUGUAACGGUGGAAUGUGUAGAUAUCGGGAAGAACACCAAUGGCGAAGGCAGGUCUCUGGGCCGUUACUGACGCUGAGGAGCGAAAGCGUGGGGAGCGAACAGGAUUAGAUACCCUGGUAGUCCACGCCGUAAACGGUGGAUGCUGGAUGUGGGGCCCGUUCCACGGGUUCCGUGUCGGAGCUAACGCGUUAAGCAUCCCGCCUGGGGAGUACGGCCGCAAGGCUAAAACUCAAAGAAAUUGACGGGGGCCCGCACAAGCGGCGGAGCAUGCGGAUUAAUUCGAUGCAACGCGAAGAACCUUACCUGGGCUUGACAUGUUCCCGACGGUCGUAGAGAUACGGCUUCCCUUCGGGGCGGGUUCACAGGUGGUGCAUGGUCGUCGUCAGCUCGUGUCGUGAG
rnacentral:rRNA from 1 species